UGGUCUAGGAUGAACGCUGGCGGCGUGCCUAACACAUGCAAGUCGAACGGGGUUAAGUGAAAUUUCGGAUGGAGCUUAACUUAGUGGCGGACGGGUGAGUAACGCGUGGAUAACCUGCCUCACGACUGGGGGAUAGCAGCUGGAAACGGCUGGUAAUACCGCAUAAGACCACAGCACCGCAUGGUGCAGGGGUAAAAGAUUUAUCGGUGUGAGAUGGAUCCGCGUCUGAUUAGCCAGUUGGCGGGUAACGCCCACCAAAGCGACGAUCAGUAGCCGGCCUGAGAGGGUGAACGGCCACAUUGGGACUGAGACACGGCCCAAACUCCUACGGGAGGCAGCAGUGGGGAAUAUUGCACAAUGGGCGCAAGCCUGAUGCAGCAACGCCGCGUGAGUGAAGAAGUAUUUCGGUAUGUAAAGCUCUAUCGGCAGGGAAGAAAGGCCCUUAACAGGGAGAUGACGGUACCUGACUAAGAAGCCCCGGCUAACUACGUGCCAGCAGCGGC
rnacentral:rRNA from 1 species